CGGAAACUGCAGUGAGGUCACAACUUCCUAGGUGACGCACGUCCACACAAGCUGGAAUGCAUUGCUGACCUGACAUUUGCACCUGCAGCUGCUUGCCACACCCACGUUCCACCUUCCUCGAGCCCAGGGUCUGCCACCUGGGAAGUGCCGUUCCAGGACAGCUCGUUUCGUCACCAUGAACAUCUCUGCAUAGCCCCAAGAGGACAGUGUCAUUUCCAAACGGAAAUAGCAAGAACUUAAUUAAUCCACUAAGGACUCAUACAAAUCAUCCCUCUGUCAUGAAAAAGUUUGCCAAUUCCUGGUGUAGAGCUUAGGAAAGAGGUCUGAACUGGAGAUGUGGAAUCAGCAGUUGUCAACAGCUCCCACUUACAAGUGAGAACAUGCGAUAUUUGGGACUAUCAUCUGGGACUAUCCUGCAUUACUUUCCUAAGGAUAAUGGCCUCCAACUCCAUCCCGGUUCAUGCAAAUCCACGUCAUAUGACACAAUCACGAUGCAAUCUAUGGUCUUGCAUAUUUACAUUACACCACCACUUAAGUCAGCACAAGGGAGGUAAGACUAUUCUGAAAGCCAUUUUACACAGGGACGGGCAGCAAGAGACAACUUCAACAGGCCCCAUACCACAGAAAUAAAUCCCGUGGAACCCAAACUCUAUGACUCAACUCAAUUCUUCUUUGGCUGGACCCCAAAAAUGCCCACAUCCACUCUACCACCCAACACGAAGAGGUGAAGAACAAGUCAGGGUAGAAAGAGAUCAAAAUUUUAAUGACAGCCGAAAUGGCUGACUUUUACAAACUUAACCAAAGUAAAUGACCAAAUGAACACACUGCCAGGGCCCCUUCAGAGCCUCAGACGGGGCCGGUUGAAGUUGUUUAUUGCUGUCCUGUUGAAGUCAGAUAUUGUAUGGGAUGAAUCACCCCAAAACAUAGUGGCUUAAAAUAAGAAUUGCUUUAUUGUCUCUCACAAUUCUGGAGGUCUGCUGGGCUUGGCCAGGGGAUUCUCUUCCUUGGAAUCUCUCAUGAGUUUACAGUCAGAUGGCGACUAGGGCUGAAACCAUCUCAAAGCCUUCCUCUCUCACAUCUCAUGGGUGAACCCAGCUAUUGCUGGAACCUCAUCUGGGACUAUUGGCCAAAACACCCAGAGCUUCUCCAUGUGUCUGGGCUUCCUAGAAGCAUGGCAGCUGGCUUCCAAGAGAAUUGGGCUGAAGCUAGUUAUCCUUUACAAUCUAACCUUGAAAUUCUCAAGCAUUAUCUACAUCAAAAUCACAAGCCUGCCCAGAUUCUAGGGAAGAACACAUAGACCCCACGUUUCCAUGGGAGUCAUAAGGGCCUCACCCUGUAAGAAGAGUCCAUGUGGCUGGGGUCUUGUGGCUGCCAUCUUGAAAAAUACAAUCUGCCAUGGGACUCACGCAAGGAAGGGGCCCUGAGCCUGAGCAUUACUAGCUUCCUGUGUGUCGCUUUCUAUUACUCAUGAUCUAUAAUUCAUCUUCUUCCAGAGCUUGCCAAAAGUUUCCCCCUAAAAUCCUUCCCUCUGCCAUCUUAACUCAGGUUAAAUCCUUGGACUUUGUUGCCCCAACAGCUUUGAGCACAUGGUUAGUCUCCUCCCACUGGCCAGUGGGGUCAGUGGUGGCACGCCCCCAAUAUCACUGUGACUUUGUUAGGUAAAGGGACUUGUAUAUUUAUGGCAGAUGGUACCUGGGGAAUAAGCUCUGGCUGUCAUUGCAAGCAGAAAGUUAGGCUUCUGCUGAUUCAAAGGAUAUCACCCCGUCCCCACCACCAUCGUGCUCAGUCAGGGGUGUAACCACACACAGAUUUUUGAGAACCAAAAGUUUUACAAUAUUUAAUUACCAUAAACAUGCAAUCCUUCUUCCAUAAAGCAUGCUGAAGAAUGUGCUUUUGGCACUGUGGCUGGAGGGUUGGCAUGGACUUUUGGCAUUCGUACCACCUUCUAUCUCAAACCAGUAGUCUCUCCAACCUGAUAUCAUGGUGCUGGGGGAGACCUCUGAGUGCUUGGCACAGCCAGCCAUGUGGUACGGAGCCGCUUCUGUGGCUGUACCACCAUCUGACUGUAACCUCAUGAGAGACCCCAAGGGAGAGAACUGCCUGUUCAAGGCCAGCCCACCUCCUUUUUUCCCUUAAUGGAGCAUUCUCUCAGGAAGCCUGGCUGUAUCUAACAAAUUGAUCUUGGCCCAGAGCCACCCCAUUUGUACAAGAUUUUAUAUCUCUGAACCUCAGUAGUCAGUACAAUGCUGACAUCUAAGUAUUUUUCUCCCAGGCAGACUGCACUGACCUCUGGGUGAAUCAGUGGUUGUGGCAGGAUGGUUAGGAGCCUCCUCCCAAUUUUAAAACAGUGUCUAAGCCUCAACCCUAAUCACCAGCACUGUCUGAGCUCCAGGCCCCACUCUACGAAGAUGUCCUUUUAGAAAGCUAAGGACUAAAAAAUGCUCACUGAGUUUGGCGAUGCAAGUCAGUAGAUGGGUGGGAACAGAGCCACGCCAUAUGUCUCAGCUCGUUUGCACUGCUGUAAAAAGUGUCACAGCCCUUUAUGGAUUACCCUGAUUACAUCCUGGGUAACCCAAACAGGACAGAAUUGUAUCUUCUCACAGUCCUGGAAGCUUCAAAGCCCCUGAUCCAGUGUCCUCACGUGGCAGAAGGUGGAGAGUAGGAGAGGAUGAACAUUGUGUCUUUACACAGCAGGAGAUUGAAAGAGCCCGAACCCACUCCCCCAAGCUCCCUUUAAAACAGCAUUAAUCGGCCUAAAUUCCCAAAAGGCCCCAUCUCCCAACACUGCUGCAUGGGGCACUAAGUUUGCAUCAUGUUGGGUCAGGCGCAGUGGCUCAGUCUGUAAUUCCAGUACUUUGGGAAGCCAAAGUGGUGGGUCCCUUGAGCUCAGGAACUUGAGACCAACCAGCCUGGGCAACAUGGCGAAACCCUGUCUCUACCAAAAAUACAAAAAUUAGCCGAGUGUGGUAGCACACAGUUGUAGUCCCAGCUACCUGGGAGGCGGAGGUGGGAAGAUCACCCGAAACCGGGAGGUUGAGGCUGCAGUGAAUCGACAUUGCACCGCUGCACUGCAGCCUGGGCCGCAGAGUGAGACACGGUUUCAAAAAAAAAAAGAGUUUGUAACAUAUGAAUUUUGAGAGACACAUUCAGACCAUAGCAUCACAGCUGAAGAGUCAGUGGGAGACGAAAUGGAAACAGCAUAUUAGAUAACUGAAGAAAUGUGUCCGCGAUGAAGCCAAGACAGAGGGAGCUGGAGGCCCCGGGAAUGGAGGCGACAUUUCAGAAGAGCGUCCGUGGAUGGCGAGAGGAAAGAAGGGGUUGGUUACCAAGGGUGAGUUCCGGAGGAGAGUGGGGCUGUCACUCGAGGAAACGCAGUCCCGCGGGGAAAGGAAAAGGAGUUGGCUGGAGGCAGGGAGUCAGCGGUCCCCACAGCAGGAACUGGAGGAGGCUCCUCAGGGCUCUUUCGCGGCCCGGAAGUACAGGGCGCCUCCCGGAAGUACAGGGCACCGCCCGGAAGUACAGGGCGCCGCCAUCUUCAUUCAGAGCACGAAGCGUGCGGGGCGGGGCCGGAGACCAGAGGGAGUCGAGGUUUUGCACCCGAAGAGGGGACGCAGAGAGUAGGUGAUGGGAACACAGGGCCCCUCCAGCCUCAGGAGGAGCAGCUGCGGCCUGGUUUGCUCGUGUCGGUCAGGUCAUUCGUCGGGCACCCUGUCCCCGGGGCCUGCCAGUUACUUGCCUUCCAGGCCCGUCAUCCUGCCGGAAGCAUCCCCAGCUUGGGGAUGUUGGAGGCGCCCUGGCCCCACGUGGCUGGGGAUGGAGUGUCUGAGCUGCCCUGGGCUGAACCAGGGUGCGGGGAGGAGAGGGGACUUAGGGGAGGAGGGACGGUGAACUUGGUUUUGUGUGGCUGCUGGAGUGACAGUGACAAACGACUGUGUUUAAAAUAUUAAAUUGUCUUCUCUCAACAAGAAGUCAUUGUACCUGCCUGGCCCCUGAAGGUGCCUGAGUUUGCAGUCCCUGAUGUUAUGGGCUGAACGUUUGCAUCCUCCCAAAAUUCAUAUGCUGAAGCCCUGACUCACAAUGGGCUGGUAUUUGGAGGCAGGGCCUUAGGAGGUGAUGAGGGUUACAUCGGGUCAUGAGGGUGGGGUUCCCAUGAUGGGAUUAGUGCUCGUGUAGAAAGAGGAAGACAGUAGUCUACACACACACAAACACACACACACACACACACCCCGUCCCUUUCCUUCCAGCACAAGCAGACAGGAGAUGCCAUGUGAAGGUGCAGGGAGGAUUUGGGCCAUCUAAAAGCAAAGAAAGAGAUUUAAUCAGACACUGCAUCUACCAAAACCUUGAUCUUAGACAUCCAGCCUCCAGAACCGCCAGAAAUAAAUGUCUGUGUCUAACCUCCCAUUCCGCUACCCCACCUCCGGUGUAGGGUAUUUUGUGAUGGCAGCCCAAGCUGACUAAGGCACCUGGUUAGACUGGAAUAAGCAGCUGAGGAGCACUGGGGGAGGGAUGAGAGAGGAAACUAGAUUGGGGCAGGGGAGACUGUCUUAUUGUGGAUUUUAAUCCAAUGGCCAUGGUAAGCCACUGAAGACAGGAUGUGCCAAAAACAUGGGGAGCCCCAGACCCCUUGGAAAAGAAAAGAAUGUCAUUUGUGGAGAAAAGGAGCCUCCCCCCACCCCAGCUUUUUAAAGAUCACUUGACCUUCACAAAAGAAUAGGUCCUCUGGUCCUUAGUGUAAGAGUUCAAUAAGGUGGUUCCCUGAAUUUUUUAAAAUGCUUCUCUGAAUCCAACAGUACCUAAGUCCCUUAUGAGUGGCCAGAGAAGAAAGAAUACACCGAGUUGACAUUCCAGUUCAGUAAGUUGUAAGGACAGUAUUUUGAAAGAAUCUGUAGGCAAGGGAGCACCAACCCAUAACUAACCUCAAGCCGAGUCCCUUCCAAAACCUUUCCCCAUCCACAAGCAGUGAUGGAUUAUUGCAAACGUUGUUUAGUUUCAUUUGACCUCCUUUGCAAAACCAACUUUCAAUAUACAUAUAGAGGCUGAGAAGUGACCAAGGCCACUGCAUUUGGUCUCUUUGAGUAGCCUUUCUACCUACCAGGCCACAGUCAGUAGUAAUCACCAUUGAACAUGCUUGAGGCAGUUCUUCCAAUAUUACUUUGCAUCAAAGACUGCUCGAGAACUGCUCUAAGUGGAAUGACUGAUGUUGGCAACCAGGGUUCCACCAGGGACUACAAAUAGCCCUUUACCUUCAGGUGGGAAAGUGCCACUGAGUUCAGACUCUCUGGGAAUCCCUAGCAAUCAACUUCUGAUAAGCAAAUAAGUGGAAAGGUGAAAUUAGACAAAGUUGCAGUGAAUUAUAAGAUUUCAUUAUUUUUAUAGCUGAAUAGUAUUCCAUGGUAUGUAUAUACCACAUUUUCUUUAUCCAUUCAUGUGUGGUCAGACAACUAGGUUGAUUCCAUGUCUUGGCUGUUGUGAAUACAGCUGCAAUAAACCUGGGGCCACAGAUGACUCUUUGAUAUAAUGAUUUUCCUUCCUUUAGAUAAAUGCCAGUAGUAAGAUUGCCGGAUCAUAUAGUACUUCUACUAGUAGUUUUUUGAGGAACCUCCAUACUGUUCUCCAGAGAGAUUAUACUAAAUUCCCAUCAACUGUGUAGAAAAGUUCCCUUUUUUUCUGCAUCCUCUCCAGCAUGUGUUAUUUUUUGUCUUUCUGAUAAUAGCCAUCCUAACUGGGGUGAGCAAAUAGCUCAUUGUGGUUUUGACUUCCGUUUCCCUGAGGGUUAGUGAGGUUGAGCAUGUUUUCAUACAUUUAUUGGACAUUUGUAAUGUCUUCUUUUGAGAAAUGCCUGCUCAGAUCAUUUGCCCAUGUUUUAAUUGUUUUUUUGCUGUUGAAAUAUUUGCGUUCCUUGUAUAUUUUGGAUACUAGUCCCCUGUCCAAUACGUAGUUGACACAACACUAGGCACCACACUAGGUUCUUUACACAGGUUAUCUUAUUUACUCCUCACUCCAACUCUGUGAGGGAGGUGCUAUUACUACCACUCUCAUUUUAUCAAUAGAGAGUUUAGCAGAGUUUCAUAACCUUUCCAAAGUCACAGAGCUAGUGUGGAGGAUGGAGCAGGGUUGGAUGCCAGAGCCAGGCCCUCCAGCCCCACGCCUUACCGCUGCAGGAGCCUGCCCACCUGCAGUCACUGCCACAGGCAUCAAUGGCAGUGCCUAGAAUAAGGAUUUAUGGAGCGCCUACUGUAUUCACAGAUGAGUCUGAAAGGUGUUGAGUCUGAAAGCAAAAAAAAAGCCAAGGAAUGGUAGAAAUCGUGGAGUUCAAAUUAGAAUCUAGGGCCUGAAGUCACUUCCUGGGUCAGGUUAAAGUGAAGGAAACAUUCCUAUUUUGAUCUUUUUCAUUAUUUAUCGUUCAUACCCAAAAAUACCUUUAAGGGGAUUCGUUUUAGAUGCAAAGUGAACAACAAAUCAGUUCUUCCAACAUUUUCUUCUCCUGAAAAGGCUCUUUGAAAGCCCUGUUUUGCAGAGACUUGCUCCUUCUGCGUGAUGGGUAAAUCGUAGGACCUGGUGGAUUAUGCUACAUGCUUAAUGUGGAAAGGUUGCUUCAUCCCAGAGUCUGGAGUUUCCAGAGACAUUGUCCUCAAACUUCCGCUUGGGCACUUCCAGCGCCUGCAGGCAACAGCUCUGACGCACUUAGGACUUAAAUACAACCCACAGAAGUGCUGGCUUGGCUGGGAAAACUUUUGCUAAACAGAAGAGCAACAUUUUUUUCUUUUCUUUUCUGGACUUUGCAAACAGCAUUGAUUCUCAGCCUUGCCUUCCAAACCUUCCAGCUGGAACAUUGCUGGGCAGCGUGGACACAGACGCGAACGUCAUCCAGGCCGGCAGGGGGCGGCAGACCCCACACUUCGCCGCGCGCCCCGGCCUCCCUGGGAGGGAGAGUCCAGCUGCCAAUGCCUGUCGCAGGUUUGGUCCCAAGCGACUUCAGCCAGCAGACGGUUCCAGUUCUGAGGCUGCAAAAUUCGGGUUGGAAGGAGUGGGGCGUAAGGCUGAGUGGCGCGAGCAAUCCAGGGGCGCCAGGGUGGGAGCCGCAGCGGGCCCGUGGCCGCCCAGAGGACACUGAUGCUUCUGGAGCGCGCGAGGGGCCCCGCGGGACCCGACCAAGGCCCCCUGCGCUCCGCAGAGGGGCGGGCACGGGGUGGGGCACGGGAUGGGGCACGGGGUGGGGCGCAGGGUGGGGCACGGGGCAGGGGCGUGGACGGGGCGCGGGUGGGUGGCCCCCCUCCCGCAGUCCCAGGAUGGCCGGGACAAGGCCGCUGGGAAAGGCAGGACGCUCGCCCUUCCGUUGCCAGCUGGGCUUUUCUCCUUCCUCGCCCGCUCCGCGUUCCAGGGCGCGACCCCGCUCCGUCCACCCGCUGGUUCCCGGGCUGAGCCCUGGUAGGUGGGUCGGAGGCCCUGAGAGAACUGGGAGUUGAAGGCAUUUCUGUUUCCAAGCGCAAGCCCGGGCAGCCCGGAUGCUCCAGCCCCUGGACUCUGGACUGGAAACUGGCAGGGGUAGGAGAGGUUUGCAGGAGGCCGCCCUCCGCCUUCCUCUGUUCUAACGCCUGCUGGAUUCAGGGAGUCCUGGUACUUUUAUUUUUUACCUGAAAAAAUAAUAACAGCAGAAAAGCCGACGUGAUGGGUUACGCCUCCUUAACGUGCCCCGUUUGACGUUCCAAGCUCCUUCCACAGACUGACCUUCUUUUGUGCCAUCAGUGUGAUCCUGUGUCCGCUAUGCAAAGCACUGUUUACUGAAUCUGGUGGAAAAGGUAGGAAGUAGCGUCCCGUGGGGCACAUUGAUCCGGGUGGAAAGGGAUGUGUAUGCCCUGAAACACGGACAGCCACAUGCCAUGCUUGGUUUUGUGUAGAACCAACAUGACAUGAUCUUUUCACUGAUUUUCAGAAUUCUGGAGAAUUCACUUAGGAAAAUAAGCAUGAGUAUCAGUGGAUGACUACUAUUUUACUACAUACUUUAACUCAUUUCACAGAAGCAGUGCGCCUGAUAUUUUGAGACACAAAGUUUAUUUGGUUCCUCUUUACUGUAAUAUGAUCAAUUAGCUGCUUCCUGAGUUACACAGGAGGAAGGUACUUCCUGUUUUCUUUUUAAAUCUUUUGUCCCUUAUUUAAAGAAGCAACAGGGCACCGGCACUGGCUCACUCAUAUAAUCCCAGCACUUUUGGAGGCCAAAGCAGGAAGAUUGCUUGAGCACAAGAGUUCAAGACCAGCCUGGGCAACAUGGCAAGACAUCGUCGCUGCAAAAAAUACCCAAAAUAGUAUCUAGGAGUGGUGGUGCACGCCUGUAGCCCCAGCUACUCUGGAGGCUGAGGCCAGGCGCGGUGGGUGGCUCACACCUGUAAUCCCAGCACUUUGGGAAGCCAAGGCAGGUAGAUCACAAGGUAAGGAGUUCAAGACCAGCCUGACCAACAUGGUGAAACCCUGUCUCUAUUAAAAAUACAAAAAUUAGCCUGACGUGGUGCUGUACACCUGUAAUCCCAGCUACUCAGGAGGCUGAGGCAGGAGAAUCACUUGAACCCAGGAGGCGGAGUGGCAGUAAGCCAAGAUCAAGCCAUUGCGCUGCAGCAUGGCCAACAGCAAAAGACUCGGUCUCAAAAAAAAAAAAAAAAUUCUGAUACAUAUGCAUAAGUGAGUAAAAGUGUAAAUAUAUACAUAUGUAUAUGAAAAAGGCAGAUUUUACAUUGUACUGAGUUUAUACUUUUAUUGUCCAUCACUAAGACCCUUUUUGACUUUAAAAGCGGGGUAUACAGACCUGUGAAACAAGCAACAAAAAUGAAAACACUGCAGUUUUUGUGGUUCUGUAAACACAGAAGAAAAGUGGAGGUCAGUCAGGAUCCAUGCUGCUGGCCACGCUUAUCGGGAAUCACUGUGGUCUCUGUGAGUGCUGACGAAUCUGAAUUCCCCACAUUUCGUGGCUUGGGAACUGCUCUGUUGACUAGAUUACUGGUUUGAGGUUGUCACUGUUGUCUUUCUUACAAGAGUAGAAACAAGUGCACAGAAUUGGAUUUAGGUAAGUAGACAUUUAGCACAGUCACAGCAGUGCCCACACAAAGAAGGCAAUCAACAGAUGCAGCCAUGACAAGGGUCCCUCGCUGGGCCAGUUGCCCCCAUUCCCUCCCAUAUCUGCGCUCAGCUCCUGUGUUUUGGAGUUUCUCUUCUCAGACCAGGCAGCGCCCAGAGCUUCAGGUCUCUCCAUAUCCUUCAUCAACACCCUCUGAAAGUGUGCGUCCUCCAGGUGUGGCCAGGAGAGUGAGACAGAGCCCUGGCGUCCUUUCUUACCAUCCCUUGUUCAGGGUGUUCUCUUUCUGUUAAUCCUAUAAAUAGUCAGUUCUUUAAAUACUGUUGAUUUUACCCCAGUACUCAGCUGUCCUGUGUAAGCUCCACACCCUCAACUCUGUGGCUAAUCACACAGUUCAUUAUUAUGCUAAUUUAAGGAAUGCUAAACAUGAAAACGUACAGAGGGAACAAACACUGAAGCAACCUACCAGCUUUCCCACAACCUGCAGUUAACAACUGUGAACAUUCUGUCAUUUUAACUACUCCCCAGUCCCUGGAGCUUCCGGGUCUCACCCUCUCUUCUCUAACCCAAUCUCUCUCAGCCACACUCACGAUGAAGUGUGUGCCCUUCCUGCUUGUUUUGGAACAUUUAAAAAAUUUUUUUUAUUUUUGAGACGGAGUUUCGCUCUUGUUACCCAGGCUGGAGUGCAAUGGUGCAAUCUCGACUCACCGAAACCUCCGCCUCCUGGGUUCAGGCAAUUCUCCUGCCUGAGCCCCCUGAGUAGCUGGGAUUACAGCUAAUUUUUAGGCUUAUACUUUUUUUUAUCUAAUUUGAUCAAGAAUGAGAUUGGGUUUUACAUAAAAGUAUUAGUAAUCCUAUUGAAAAAACAAAGUAUUUUAGCUAGGAGAGAUCAUUCACACCUGGGAAAUACAAACGUUCCUUAAUACAGCAUUAUCGCUCAGUUUUACAGCCGUCUGGAGACGCACCUCAGUCUCCUCAAUCACCCUCAUCAUUUUCUUGCUUUUACUUGCAACUGUAUACCAUGCUCAGCUUGUUCAGCAAAUAAUUGUUGUUUGAAACUCAUUGGCUUCUGAUGACAGGUUACUGGCUUUAUGAAAGAUACUAAAACAUUUAUUUUUAUAUCUAUCAUCCCUAGUUUUCUUUUUAUAACUUCUAAUUUUGAUACAAUUUUAAAUUUACAGCAAUUAUGCUGAGUGCUUCACAAAAGUUCCCCAGAACUUUUAAUCUGAUUCAACAAUUUUAUAAUUUACUUCUUGUUUUAUCAUUCACUCUAGACACACAGACACACGUGCGUGCACACACAUAAACACACAUAGUUCUACAGCAUUUGAGAGUCCCUUGGAGAUUUCUUAUGUCUUUGUCCCUAAAUACUUGUGUGUAUUUUCUAAAAGCAAGACAUUCUCCCACAUAACAGUAAUACAAUUAUCAAAAUCAGAAAAUAUUAUUAUCUAAACCAAAGGCUGUAUUCAGAUGUAUCAAUGUAACAGUGAUAUCCUUUUUAAACUCCUCCCCUCACCACCACUGGUUUAGGACCCAAUUCAAGUCAUAAUUUGCAAUUAGUUGUUAUGUAUCUUUAGUCUCCUUUAAUUUAGUAGAAUUCCUCAGUCUUUCUUAACUUUGGUAUUUUAGAAGAAUACAAGCCAACAAUUUUGUAUAAAAGUUAAAGGCCAAGAAGAUACUAAUGACAUUCAUAUCUAAUACCUAUUCUUUUGGGAAAACCAUGACUAUGUGGGAAUUAUCAGACAGAUACAAGGAUGCCUUCUUUUUUCAAACUCAUUCAUCCAAAGGGGACACUUUUAUGCAACUGAUUAUUUUAUCUAAUUGAUUCACCCUAUUUCAAUCAAUGCACCAAUUCUACAAGAGGUGAUUUAGUCACUCUUAAUGUCUGUUUAAUGCUGUAGAUAAUAAGAUUACAUUUUUUAUGUUUUUUUAAAAGUUCUUUUUAUAUAGAUCUGCUAUGAUCUGAAUGCAUCCAAAAAUAUCUUGUGUUGAAAGCUUAAUCCUAAGAUCCAUAGACUAGAGGUAGAGAAUUGGAAGGUAAUGAGAAUUAGGUAAGAUCAUUAGGGUGGAGACCCCAUGAAGAGAUUAGUGACUUCACAGCAAGAAGGAGACAGUUUGCUCUGUUUUGCCACACCAUGACACAGCAGAAAGGCCCUCACCAGAAGCUGCUGCCAUGUCCUUGGAUUAUCCAGCCUUCUAAAGUUGUAGAAUUAGCUGGGAUGCCCAGCUAAUUUUUUAUAUUUUUAGUAGAGACGUGGUUUCACCUUGUCAACCAGGAUGGUCUCGAUCUCUUGACCUCGUGAUCCACUAGCCUCGGCCUCCCAAAAUGCUGGGAUUACAGGCAUGAGCCACCGCGCCCGGCUUAAAAUUCUUUUAAUUAGUUUUUAAAAAUCAACUUUAUACGUGCUCAUAAAUAGUCAAAAAGUCCUAUAAAAAGGCUUGAAUAUCCUUCUCCCCAGAGGCAAACACUUUGACUCUUUAAACUGAUCCUAUUGGCAUUUACCUUUAAAUCUCUAAAUAACCUUCUGACUCUGGUACUUCUUUUUUCUGUUUUAAUCAUUACCUCUGGACUUCCCCCUUGCAAGAUUAGGGUUAAAUUCUCUUUAAUGUACCAUCAGCAAUAUACCACACACACACACUAUACGUAUCGUAUGUGUACGCAUACGCCACACACCCACAACACACCAUACGCACCAUACACCAUGUACACACACAGAUUACCCAGCACACACUGCACAUACACACCAUACUUAUACCAUGCACACACAUCAUAUAUACCACACACCUCACACACAUCAAAAUCCAUAACACAUGCACUCACAAACACACCAUGCACACCACACAGCAUGAACACACACAUGCCACACCCACACACCAUGCACACCCUACUUUUCAUUAUUUGAAGAACCUCCAUUCUGUUUUCCAUAAUGGCCCCGAUUUACAUUCCCACCAAGUGUGCCAAGGUUUCCUUUUCUCCAUAUCCCCACCAACAUGUGUUGUCUUUUGCCUUUUUGAUAAUAGUCAUUUUAAUAGGUUUAAGGUGAUCUUCCAGUGUACGUGUUUCUUUUGUUUUGUUUUUUAUUUUUAGAGACAGUUUUUACUAUGUCACCCAGGCUGGAGUGCAGAGGUGUGAUCAUAGCUCACUGUAACUUCAAACUCCUGGGUUCAAGCAGUCUUCCUGCCUCAGCCUCUCGAGUAGCUAGAACUAUAGGUACACAAUACCAUGCCCAGUUAAUUUUUUAUUUCCUUGUAGGGACAAGGUCUUACUAUGUUGAGACCAGCUCAGGCUGGUUGGUCUCAGAACUCCUGGCCUCAAGCAAUCCUCUCUCCUUAGCCUCCCAAAGUGCUGGGAUUACAGACAUGAGCCACCAUGCCCACAUGUUGCUUUGAUUUGCAUUUUUCUGAGCAGUAGUGAAUUAGAGCACCUUUUUAUAUACCUAUUGGCCAUUUGUCUGUCUUUUUUUGAGAACUGUCUAUUCACGUCCUUUGCCCGUUUUAAAAAAUUGGGUCAUUCGGGUUUCCUUUAUGCUACUGAGUUGAGUUUCUGGCAUAUUUUGGAUAUUAACCCCAAUGAGAUGUAUGGUUUGCAAAUAUUUUCUCUCAUUUCUUAUGUUACCUUUUCAUUCUGUUGAUUAUUUCCUUUGCUGUGUAGAAAUGUGAUUCAAUCCCAUUUGUCUAUUUUUGUUUUUGUUACCUGUCCUUUGGGGUCAUAUACAAUGAAUCAAUGCCCAAACCAAUGUCAAGAAGCUUUUCUUCUGUUUUCUUCCAGUAAUUUCACAGUUUUUGAUCAUAUGUUUAAGUUUUUAAUCUAUUUUGAGUUAAUUUUUGAAUGUGGUGUGAGAUAAGGGUUCAGUUUCAUUCUUUUGUAUGUGAAUAUUCGGUUUUCCCAGUACCAUUUGUGGAAGAGACUAUCCAUUUCCCAUUUUGUGUUCUUGGCCCCCUUGUCAAAGAUCAGUUGAAUGUAGAUGCAUGGAUUUAUUUCUGGAUUCUCUAUUUGGUUUCAUUGAUCUUUGUGUCUGUUUUCAUGCCAGUAUCACACUGUUUUGAUUACUGUUGCUUUGUAAUACACAUCAGAGAAUAUAAUGCUUUUAGCAUUGUUCUCUGCUCAAGAUUGUUUUGGCUAUUCAGGUUCUAUUGUAGUCCCAUAUGAAUUUUAGGAUUGUUUUUCUUUUUUUGUAAAGAAUUACACUGGAAUUUUUAUAUGAAUUGCAUUCAAUCUGUAGAUCACUUCAGCUGGUAUAGACAUUUGAAUAAUAUUAAUUAUUUCAAUCCAUGAACAUAGGCUGUCCUUCUACUUAUAUGUGUCUUCUUUAAUUUCCUUCAUCAGUGUUUUAUAAUUUUCAGUGUACAAGUCUUUCACUUCUUUGGUUAAUUUUAUUCCUAAGCAUUUUAUUCUUUUGGGUUCUAUUGUAAACGAUAUUGUUUUCUUGAUUUUCUUUUAAAAAUAGUUGUGUAUAAUGUACACAAAUGUUCAUUGCAGCACUGUUUACAAUAGCAAAGACCUGGAAUCAACCCAAAUGCCCUGGAUUGGAAAAAUGUGGCACAUAUACAUCAUGGAAUAUUAUGCAGCAAUCAGAAAUGAUGAGUUUGUGUCGUUUGUAGGGACAUGGAUGAAUCUGGAGAACAUCAUCCUCAGCAAACUGACACAAGAACAGAAAAUGAAACACCACAUAUUCUCACUCAUAGGCGGGUGAUGAAAAAUGAGAACACAUGGACACAGAAAGGGGAGUACUAAACACUGGGGUCUAUUGAGGGGGAAAAGG